rnacentral:rRNA from 1 species
CCUACGGGUGGCAGCAGUGGGGAAUAUUGGACAAUGGGCGAAAGCCUGAUCCAGCCAUGCCACGUGUGUGAAGAAGGCCUUCGGGUUGUAAAGCACUUUCAGUGGGGAAGAAAGCCUUGGGGCUAAUACCCUCGAGGAAGGACAUCACCCACAGAAGAAGCACCGGCUAACUCCGUGCCAGCAGCCGCGGUAAUACGGAGGGUGCGAGCGUUAAUCGGAAUUACUGGGCGUAAAGCGCGCGUAGGCGGUCUGAUAAGCCGGUUGUGAAAGCCCCGGGCUCAACCUGGGAACGGCAUCCGGAACUGUCAGGCUAGAGUGCAGGAGAGGAAGGUAGAAUUCCCGGUGUAGCGGUGAAAUGCGUAGAGAUCGGGAGGAAUACCAGUGGCGAAGGCGGCCUUCUGGACUGACACUGACGCUGAGGUGCGAAAGCGUGGGUAGCAAACAGGAUUAGAUACCCGAGUAGUC